CGGGGAGGCUGCGGCGAGCGCGCGCGUGGAGGUGCUGCGGCUCCGCCGCCUCCGCAGCUUGGUUCGCCCGGCGGCCGGAGCCCGCGUCCGAAGGCCCGGGCCUGCGGGGCCUGCGGGGCAGGGGCGGCGGGUGGGCUGGCCCGGGAGAGGCACGACCCGGGGCCGGAGGCGGGGAGGUCUUCCCCGCAGAGUGGCUGCCAGACGACGGAAAGUUUUUUGCACGCAGCCCUUCCAGCGUGUCCUUCCCUCGCCGGCUCCCCGUCGUCCACGCCACCACUCCCUUGUCCCUUUCUCUUUCCUGUCACGGCGGACCUUGGGACCGUGGAGGAUUCCGCGGAUGCCUUUGGGAACUGAGACCCGUGGGUAGAUGGAAGUGGUUCUAAAACGCAGAGACGGCCGUGGAAAAUACCUGUGUUAUUUGAGUACCACCUGGUUCGGGAGAGCAGUGCGUCUGAUACACAGCCUGCAUUCACUUAGUCUGAUUCAUGUGCUGUUUUACCUCAUUAUUGAAAAGAAGAGAAGAGAGAAUGAAUACCUAAGCCCCAGCAACUUCUUUGCCAUAAUGGGCUUCCUUCCUCACAUAGAAACCAGUAAGAGUGCGGCAGGGCUGUGAGACCCAUCAUCCAUCGCUACGAGUUAAACCCAAGGUCUUUGCCCUUUCAGUGUAUGAAAGCCAAAUUAUAUUAUUGGAUGAAUUGGUAGAAUCAAAGGAAAUGGAUAUAGUUCUUAUGCAAUAAUCAAGUAAUGUGGUCACCUCUUUCUCUUUGAAUCCCUUACAGACCAUGGCUUACCUACUCUAUGGGGAACGUUGAUCAGUGCUAAGACACCCAUGUGAGAUAGCUCUUAUUAUUCCCAACUUAUGGAUGAUAAAAGUGAGGCACAGAGUGGAAGUAAAGCAUGGUGCCCUCCCUCUGGUUUCUUUUAUUCUAAAGUUAUCAAACACCUGGCUUCGGCCAUUGCACAGGUUGUGUACUGCACAACGGUGCCACUUUUAAGGGAGCACCAUUCUCAGGACAGACCUAGAUUUAUUGUGACAAUAUUCUAGGCAGAUGGCACAAAAGUGGCUUGUUCUAACAAAAUCAGGACUAUGAAGCGAUUUUCUAACAGAACUUAAGUUUCUUCAGGAAAGUACACCUCUCCCUAAUGCUUGUGAAAGCGCUAGAUGGACUAGCGGCAAAGAAGGGGGUUAUUGAUGACUCUCCGUAUGUUAGCAGUUCAGCUGGGAGCUGUGUGGGAAAUAGAGUGCUUUGCGUGGUGGAAUAAAUAGAACAAUCUUGCUAUCUAAAUGUGCUUGUUCUGUUAUGGUUUAAGUCAUCCUAAGCUUGGUUUGAAGGAGGAGACAUUGACAUGUAUAUCAGUUUAUAAAUUCAGCAGCAGGAAGUGCAAAGAAUGUCGUUUCAAUUAUGGAUUGACCCAUGAUUGAUUUACCAACGUCAGUCAAUGGCUCCUAGGGUGUAAUCAACACCAAGAAAUGGCAGGUACUGGACCCUUAGGAGGAUGAGGGCAAAUGUUGCAGCAUUGCUCAGCUGACGAGCUCCGUGUAGGCCCCCUACAGGGAGCAUCACAUCCAAGGAAAAUACUGUAAGGUGGGAAUCGCUUUUGCUUGUUGUAGCUACGUAACCAUCUCUGUAACACACAGACUCCACUCUCUGUUCUUGACUUUGUUCUGAAUCUUCAGUGUGUGCCAUUUCAUGGUGCUUUUAGGGAGGAAAGGCCUCACCGGUUGACUCAGUUGAGAAGGCUUUAAUUUUUCUACCUAUGCAAAACCUAGGCAUUCACGGACUCUGGCUAAGCCAAAAAAAAAAAAAAAAAAAAAAAAAAGGUCUUUUCUAAUGCCUAAUAAAUAGUCAAGUUUGGGUGGGAGGUGGGGUAUGUACAGGAAUUGCAACCCUCAUUUCAUAAUUGGAAUGAGAGAUGCUGACAGACUGGCCUGGCCUGGGCCCGUGCCAGAUGGCACAGACUGAGUAGCUGCUUUCACCCGGGGUCGGGGGAGAUGUGUGUGUAGUCAGUGACUGGAGAACGGGAGGGUGUGGGGCAGAGGAGAAAUCUGAGCUGGGAAAGUUGGGGGGGGGGGGUCUUGAAUAGCCGGUGGGCAGAGCAUGCAUGGGGGACAGGGGCCUUCUUCAGUGAGAGCCUCAGGUCACAUAGACAAUAAUUCCCUACAACAAAGCCCUUAGUGGAAAAUAGGCAAGUCGCAAGGGGAUUUGGAAACAGGAAGGGUUUGAAAGUGUUACACAAUGUUUCCAAGAUUAAAAUCUACAGUAUGAGAUAACUUGAGUAUAAUACUGUGUUCUUAGGCAAGUGGCAGAUUUCUUGGAGAAAUACUUUUUGUCAAGAACGAAUCUCUAGGGGCU